GAUGAACGCUGGCGGCGUGCCUAAUACAUGCAAGUCGAGCGAACGGACGAGAAGCUUGCUUCUCUGAUGUUAGCGGCGGACGGGUGAGUAACACGUGGAUAACCUACCUAUAAGACUGGGAUAACUUCGGGAAACCGGAGCUAAUACCGGAUAAUAUUUUGAACCGCAUGGUUCAAAAGUGAAAGACGGUCUUGCUGUCACUUAUAGAUGGAUCCGCGCUGCAUUAGCUAGUUGGUAAGGUAACGGCUUACCAAGGCAACGAUGCAUAGCCGACCUGAGGGAGUGAUCGGCCACACUGGAACUGAGACACGGUCCAGACUCCUACGGGAGGCAGCAGUAGGGAAUCUUCCGCAAUGGGCGAAAGCCUGACGGAGCAACGCCGCGUGAGUGAUGAAGGUCUUCGGAUCGUAAAACUCUGUUAUUAGGGAAGAACAUAUGUGUAAGUAACUGUGCACAUCUUGACGGUACCUAAUCAGAAAGCCACGGCUAACUACGUG
rnacentral:rRNA from 1 species